GAUGAAGAACGCAGCGAAAUGCGAUACUUGGUGUGAAUUGCAGAAUUCAGUGAAUCAUCGAAUCUUUGAACGCACAUUGCGCCCCCUGGUAUUCCGGGGGGCAUGCCUGUUCGAGCGUCAUUUCACCACUCAAGCCUCGCUUGGUAUUGGGCAACGCGGUCCGCCGCGUGCCUCAAAUCGACCGGCUGGGUCUUCUGUCCCCUAAGCGUUGUGGAAACUAUUCGCUAAAGGGUGUUCGGGAGGCUACGCCGUAAAACAACCCCAUUUCUAAGGUUGACCUCGGAUCAGGUAGGGAUACCCGCUGAACUUAAGCAUAUCAAUAAGCGGAGA
rnacentral:misc_RNA from 1 species